rnacentral:rRNA from 1 species
AAUCAACGCUGGCGGCGUGCCUCAGACAUGCAAGUCGAACGAUUAAAGCUCCCUUCGGGGAGUGCAUAAAGUGGCGCACGGGUGAGUAACACGUAAGUAAUCUACCCUCGAGUGGGGAAUAACGUCCGGAAACGGACGCUAAUACCGCAUAAUGCAGCGGCACCGCAAGGUGACAGUUGUUAAAGACUUAUCGCUUGAGGAGGAGCUUGCGGCAGAUUAGCUAGUUGGUAAGGUAAUGGCUUACCAAGGCCGCGAUCUGCAACCGGUCUAAGAGGACGGUCGGUCACACUGACACUGAAUAACGGGUCAGACUCCUACGGGAGGCAGCAGUCGGGAAUUUUGGGCAAUGGGCGAAAGCCUGACCCAGCAACGCCGCGUGAAGGAUGAAGUAUUUCGGUAUGUAAACUUCGAAAGAAUGGGAAGAAUAAAUGACGGUACCAUUUAUAAGCUCCGGCUAACUACGUGCCAGCCGCCGCGGUAAGAC